ACCAGUGUCUGCUGGGCACUCUUACCGUAGCAGUGAGGGGAGUUGUUCUCAGGAAGCCAUCAGCUACAGUGUUCGUAGCCUUGUUGAAAAGUGAUAGACCCUCGCAGCUACACAGGGAUGCUAGUUGCUGUUCUCUUUUAAUGUGUGUUUGAUGCAUUGGUGCCGCUUAUAGUUUGUUUACUUUUCUUUUUGUUCCUCUAGCCUAUCGGCCUAAGUAGCUUGUGUAGGUACCACCUAUUUAAUGUGAGCCGCAGGCUAGAGUGGAUUUAUUUUUUUUUAAUUUUUUUUUUCUGUACUUCCAGUUUGUGUGUCUCCCUCCCCCCUCCACAGCUAAUAGCCUCGGUGCUUAUAAGGCCCAUUAGUACCUGACCUUGGAUAGCCGGUCUCUGUAGUUUUUCUCACUCUAGUAGCCUACAGAGAUUGCAGUGUGCAUGUAGUUUGAACUCUUAAUUGCCGUGUCACAUAUCACAGAGUGUCUUGGAUAUUGUAGUGCAUUUUCCCUGAAUCUAAACACGUGUUAUUUAGUGUGCACAAGACCACGUGUGUUAGAGACCUGGCCUGACAUCAGUUCUCCUAGUGGCCCAUUACAGAGGUUCCCCAGUCCCCCUAUUGUGUCUAUGUAUUUUUUUUUUGUAUUAUAUCUGGUGACCAACCAACGCUACUCGUGUCUACUAUUUAUUAAUAAAGACUAUUUUUAUACUUUCACCAAAAACUGGCAAUAGUGUUAUUGAGUUCCCCUUGCUCUGACAUAAUUUAGCCCACUUCAAGGGGUGGCGUAGUCGACUGUACCCGAGAGGGCGCUACACAUGUUUACACACACUUAUGUUAUUUCUAUUCAGUAUGUAACUCCGACUGACAUAAUGACUGACUCAGUCACACUGACACAGCAAUCAAGGUUGCACAAUCACAGAAUCUCUUGUCGGAUGCCAAGACUUCCACAGGGCAUGGCUCGGCGGAGAACCAUCUGGUGCCCUUCAGUACUGGGCACCAAAGUACAGACCUCCCCACCCACCCAUAUUACCUUAUUAUUGUCCACACCAUCAUAGGCUGUACCAGUGUGUUUCACUGAAAGUGGGGAACUCUCCACAGAACAGCCAUAUAUUUUUUAUAUAUAUAUAUAUAUUAUUAUGUUAUAUGUAUUAUGUCAUUAUAAUCUGUUGUAAUUCAUUAAUAACAAUUUGAUGACACUGACAUGGCAUCAUGGGAUGUACCAGUCUGUAGCACGGACAGUCCUAAAGCUGUCAUAAAACAG
ensembl:lncRNA